CCCGCUGAACUUAAGCAUAUCAAUAAGCGGAGGAAAAGAAACUAACAAGGAUUCCCCUAGUAACUGCGAGUGAAGCGGGAAGAGCUCAAAUUUGAAAUCUGGCGGUCCCUCGCUGUGCGCGUUGUGACAUCUAGAAGAAGUGACCCGUGCUGUAGCCUGUAUAAGUCUCCCGGGGUGGGGCAUCAUCAGAGGGUGAGAAUCCCGUCUCUGACGUGGACCACCGGUGGCUGUGGUUGUGCUCUCUCCGAGACGCGGUGUUUGGGAAUGCACGCUCUAAACGGGUGGUAAAUUCCCUCUAAAGCUAAAUAUUGGCGAGAGACCGAUAGCGAACAAGUACCGUGAGAGGAAAGAUGAAAAGAACUUUGGAAAGAGAGAGUAAACAGUAUGUGAAAUUGUUGAAAGGGAAACGUUUGAAGUCAGUCGCGAAGCAGGCGGAGUCACCCCGACACGCACGGGUUGACUUCCUGGUCCACGGUCCAUCAUCAGCUCCGGCUGCCAGAAAAAGGCCAAAGGAAUGUGCCUGCUUUGGUAGAGUCAGACCCAUCGUUCGUAUAUCGUGGUUGAGGCUGAGGAAAGCAGCGGACGACUAGUUUGGACUGCGACCACGUUCGCGCUGAGGAUGUUGGCAUAAUGGCUUUAAGCGACCCGUCUUGAAACACGG
rnacentral:rRNA from 1 species